CCCAGCUCUGCCACUGAGUGGCUGUGUGACUGAGCUGGUCUCUUCCCUCUCUGGGCCUCAUUUUCCCCAUCUGACUACAAGAGGGCAGGCCGGGGGAAUUCUGGCACUGUCUUUAAGAUUCAGGACCAUGGGCAGAGCCUGCACAGCUGUCAGUAAACACGGAGACCACUGCAGGCUGACAACGCUCAAAUCCAGGUCUCCUAUAUCACCACUGUGAUUCAAGGAAAUACUAGGCCACUUUUGAGAACAGUGGAAGGAGUAAGAAAGUGUGCACCUGCCCUAUGCCAGUCCUGAGCUGAUCCAGUUA
rnacentral:lncRNA from 1 species